UACCUCUGCAGGUGGGAAGGGGGCCCGUGAGACGGCAGGGCCCAAGACCCGAGGUCCCCGAGGUAAAUGGUGCUCGGUGUGGGCUGUCUAUAGUGGCCUCCGACUCCCAGUCUAAUGCCCUGGACUGCUCUCCCGUGGCCAUCUCAGUGGUCCUGGCCUCUGUGUGGGGGUCCCGCCUCUGAAUGACGCCAGAGACCAAGCCCCCUCCUACAGCCUCACAGGGUCUCCAGCCCCUUUCCUUUGGAGUGUGGGUGCGGCUUCUCUUGGUCUCCUCAGGAAUGAACUGAGCGAGGGAAGAGCUGUACCUAACAGACUCUGUAAGCCUGGGAAAGGCUUGGUGAGGAGAGCGUCAUGUCUGGGCCAGGGGGUGCACCCCAUCAGACUGCAGCCAGGGACUGGUCUCAGGGCACCCCGAGGCCCGCCAGGGGGUGCAGGAUCAUGGCCUGCCCAGAUCUGUGGGAGCAGAGUCCCCAUCAUCUUGGGCACAUGAAAGCCAGUGCCCACUGGCCCCGAAGGUCUACUCAGUCAGGGUGCCCGGUUCCUGUGUUCCGGGCUCUGUACUCUGCACACCGACUUCCGGGAAAACCAGGCAAGCCCGGGAGCCUUGACUUGCUGGUUUCACUACAGGCUUGGUGGGUCUAGGGAGAGGACCCUGAAACCUCGAGAGGCAGCUCCCCUCAAAGACCUAGGCACCCAUCUACAUUAGGAAUUUUGAGAGGUAAACAGUCCUCGCCUUAACGUACCCCACCUCAGGGUCUGAUCACCCCAUCACUCACCUCGCCCCGAUACAUUGGGGGGAUGAAGCCACAGUAGACAGGAACGAAGCAGCUACAAUACAGAGCCUGGAAAGCGACAGGAGACGGGGGCUGAGAUGUCACAGUCCCUGAGUUGAGCGGUUGGUAAUCUACUGGAUCACCUAGCAGACUGGCAAUCUAGUCAGACCUGACGCCCCAACCUUAAAAAGCGGGUGGCUUUGAUGUACCCAGAGUCUCCGCUGACUACCAGCUUUCUGCGACCCUGCCGCUGUCCUGGACCAGGCCCUGGACUCAAAGGAGGGACGGCGACAGAGGUCCCAGGAAGAACUUCUUCACCUCGGCCAGGCCCAUGUUCAGCACUCGGAGGUACUCCUCUGUGGGGGGAGGGAGCAGAGGGAGGAGGGGCGCACCAUCA